CUUUAUUGGUUUCUCUUCAAUUUUCUCUCCGUCGGCUUACCUCUCUCUCUUAUCUCUGCUUCGAUGUUCAUCUAUAGAAAAAAAAGGGAUUGAAGGAUCAAAUAUAUACUGAAAGCUACGAUUUUAUGUUUAUCAACAUCAUUCACUCAACGAUUUGCCAUGUCAAUUGAUCUAUUUUAUCAAAGAUCUCUUGUCACCAUGGGUAGAUCGGCCAUCUCGUUUCGACUUUCAAGACAUGCAAUCGAAAAGUCAAAAUCCACAUUGAUAGAAGACAAUCACCUCCAUGAAGACAGCUUCUCGUGCUAGAAAGAGUGAUGCAGGGUACGACUUGACCCACUUGAUUUUGGGAGGCAUAACUGAGGCUACUUUUCGGCUUCAGAAAAUACCACAACAUGCAGUGGUGGCAGUGUAGAAUUUUCCUACGGUUAAAGAUGCUGCAGACGUGGUGAUUGCUACUAUGAUGUCUGGAAUACAUAGGGACAGGGGACAGAAGGGAUAUAUAGAAAAGUUCAGGCAGGGACAUGGUGAAGGAGAGAGAGAUGAGAAUCAGUUGUAACAUCACAUAGCAAAGGGAAGGCACACUAAUCAUUUAGUCAAUGUUAAAUAACCAAGUACCAGUAAUCAAGAUACAAAAGAAGACAACAACCUUGACAUGACAACAGACUUAUUAAACGGUUAGUAAUUGCUUAUCUAUUAUAACUAAUUCAUAAGGUGAAAGAAAAGUAUGACUUAUUGUAGUUACUUGCCUCAGUGAUGUAUAUAAGGGUUUAUAUUAAUGGUAGUCUUAUAUAACACCAGGUUUAUUUCGAUACGGUUUUAAAUGACCAAAAAGAAUUCAUACAUUUGUAGAAAUCAAAAGAAUAACAAGCUUAUUGAAAUGAAUUAUUGGAAGAAAAAAAACAAAUGC